rnacentral:rRNA from 1 species
GACAGCGAUGUACAAAGCGACAACAGCUCAAAUUUGAAAUCUGGCCCUAGGCCCGAGUUGUAAUUUGCAGAGGAUGCUUUUGGCGCGGUGCCUUCCGAGUUCCCUGGAACGGGACGCCAUAGAGGGUGAGAGCCCCGUACGGUUGGACACCAAGUCUUUGUAAAGCUCCUUCGACGAGUCGAGUAGUUUGGGAAUGCUGCUCAAAAUGGGAGGUAUAUUUCUUCUAAAGCUAAAUAUUGGCCAGAGACCGAUAGCGCACAAGUAGAGUGAUCGAAAGAUGAAAAGCACUUUGAAAAGAGGGUUAAACAGCACGUGAAAUUGUUAAAAGGGAAGCGCUUGUGACCAGACUUGCGUCCGGUGAAUCACCCAGCUCUCGCGGCUGGGGCAUUUUGCCGGCUCAGGCCAGCAUCAGCUUGCCGUCGGGGACAAAAGCUUCGGGAACGUAGCUCUCUUCGGGGAGUGUUAUAGCCCGUUGCAUAAUACCCUUCGGUGGGCUGAGGUACGCGCUCCGCAAGGAUGCUGGCGUAAUGGUCAUCAGCGACCCGUCUUGAACCACCGCGGACACCCAA